rnacentral:rRNA from 1 species
AUUGAACGCUGGCGGCAGGCCUAACACAUGCAAGUCGAGCGGAUGAAGGGAGCUUGCUCCUGGAUUCAGCGGCGGACGGGUGAGUAAUGCCUAGGAAUCUGCCUGGUAGUGGGGGAUAACGUCCGGAAACGGGCGCUAAUACCGCAUACGUCCUGAGGGAGAAAGUGGGGGAUCUUCGGACCUCACGCUAUCAGAUGAGCCUAGGUCGGAUUAGCUAGUUGGUGGGGUAAAGGCCUACCAAGGCGACGAUCCGUAACUGGUCUGAGAGGAUGAUCAGGUAACAUGGAACCGAGAACACGGUCCGACCCCCUAGGGAGGGCGCCGGUGGGAAUUUUUGAACAUGGGCCAAAGCCCUAUCCCGCCCUGGCGGCGGGUGGAAGAAGGUCUUCGGAUUGUAAAGCAAUUUAAGUUGGGAGGAAGGGGCGGAAGUUUAAUCCCUGCCUUUUUGACGGUACCAACAGAAAAAGCACCGGCUAACUUCGUG